GCAUAGACAGCUAGGAGGUUGGCUUAGAAGCAGCCACCCUUUAAAGAAAGCGUAAUAGCUCACUAGUCGAGUCGGCCUGCGCGGAAGAUGUAACGGGGCUAAGCAAUAUACCGAAGCUGCGGCAGCACGUUUACGUGCUGGGUAGGGGAGCGUUGUGUAAGUGGAUGAAGGUGAGUUGUAAAGCUUGCUGGACAUAUCACAAGUGCGAAUGCUGACAUGAGUAACGAUAAUGGGAGUGAAAAACUCCCACGCCGGAAGACCAAGGUUUCCUGUCCCAUGCUAAUCAGGGCAGGGUAAGUCGGCCCCUAAGGCGAGGCAGAAAUGCGUAGUCGAUGGGAAACGGGUUAAUAUUCCCGUACUUAUAUAAUCAGUGAUGGAGGGACGGAGAAGGCUAGGCAAGCUUGGCGUUGGUUGUCCAAGUGAAAGUGAGUAGGCUGAAGACUUAGGUAAAUCCGGGUUUUCAAGGCCGAGACACGAGACGAGCUCCCAAGGGAGUGAAGUUGUUGAUGCCCUGCUUCCAGGAAAAGCUUCUAAACUUAUGAUUAUAUGAACCGUACCCCAAACCGACACAGGUGGAUAGGAUGAGAAUUCCAAGGCGCUUGAGAGAACUCUGGUGAAGGAACUAGGCAAAAUAGCACCGUAACUUCGGGAGAAGGUGUGCCCUUGAGGUGAAGCGACUUGCUCGUGGAGCUGGAGAGGGUUGCAGUGACCAGGUGGCUGCGACUGUUUAUUAAAAACACAGCACUCUGCAAA
rnacentral:rRNA from 1 species